AAACUCUAGUUUCUCUUCAGUGCGAAUAAAUCUUUCGCCUUUCACUAAAAAUUUCCGUGGAGAGGAACAACAUAAAAGAGUCUUAACAUAAAAGAGCCUUAACAUAAAAGAGCC